GAUCAAGCGAAUAAGCGCGCAUGGUGGAUGCCUUGGCGACAGAAGGCGAUGAAGGACGUGGUAGUCUGCGAUAAGCCUCGGGGAGCCGACAAACAGGCUUUGAUCCGGGGAUUUCCGAAUGGGGAAACCCGGCCCGCAAGGGUCAUCAUGCACUGAAUCCAUAGGUGCAUGAAGCGAACCCGGCGAACUGAAACAUCUAAGUAGCCGGAGGAAAAGAAAUCAACCGAGAUUCCCUAAGUAGCGGCGAGCGAAAGGGGACCAGCCCAUGAAGCCUUUCACGUUUUAGCAGAACAGUCUGGAAAGUCUGGCCAUAGCGGGUGAAAGCCCCGUAUGCGAAAGGGCGUGUUAGGUGAUCUUGAGUAGGGCGGGACACGUGAAAUCCUGUCUGAAUACGGGGGGACCAUCCUCCAAGGCUAAAUACUCUCUGUCGACCGAUAGUGAACCAGUACCGUGAGGGAAAGGCGAAAAGAACCCCUGAUAGGGGAGUGAAAUAGAACCUGAAACCGUGUGCGUACAAGCAGUGGGAGCCUCCUUCGGGGGGUGACUGCGUACCUUUUGUAUAAUGGGUCAGCGACUUACUUCUCAGUGGCAAGCUUAACCGUAUAGGGUAGGCGUAGCGAAAGCGAGUCUGAACAGGGCGUUCAGUCGCUGGGAGUAGACCCGAAACCGGACGAUCUAGCCAUGGCCAGGCUGAAGGUCGGGUAAUACCGACUGGAGGGCCGAACCAACUGAUGUUGAAAAAUCAGUGGAUGAGCUGUGGCUAGGAGUGAAAGGCUAAUCAAGUCCGGAGAUAGCUGGUUCUCCCCGAAAGCUAUUUAGGUAGCGCCUCAUGUAUCACCCUCGGGGGUAGAGCACUGUUUCGGCUAGGGCUGCAUCUCGCGGUACCAAACCGAUGCAAACUCCGAAUACCGAGGAGUGCAAUCAUGGGAGACAGACGGCGGGAGAUAAGUUUCGUCGUCGAAAGGGAAACAGCCCAGACCGCCAGCUAAGGUCCCCAAAUCACAGCUAAGUGGGAAACGAUGUGGGAAGGCCCAGACAGCCAGGAGGUUGGCUUAGAAGCAGCCACCCUUUAAAGAAAGCGUAAUAGCUCACUGGUCGAGUCGGCCCGCGCGGAAGAUAUACCGGGGCUAAGCUGUGUACCGAAGCUGCGGAUGCAAGCGCAAGCUUGCAUGGUAGGGGAGCGUUCUGUAGGCCGUUGAAGGUGUGCCGUAAGGCAUGCUGGAGGUAUCAGAAGUGCGAAUGCUGACAUGAGUAGCGAUAAAGGGAGUGAAAAACUCCCUCGCCGAAAGCCCAAGGUUUCCUGCGCAAUGUUAAUCAGCGCAGGGUGAGUCGGCCCCUAAGGCGAGGCCGAAAGGCGUAGUCGAUGGGAAACAGGUUAAUAUUCCUGUACCAGCCGUAACUGCGAUGGGGUGACGGAGAAGGCUAGGCCGGCCGGGCGAUGGUUGUCCCGGUUUAAGCGUGUAGGGAGUGCUCCCAGGCAAAUCCGGGAGUGCAAUCCUGAGACGUGAUGACGAGGUCCUUUUCAGGACCGAAGCGGUUGAUGCCAUGCUUCCAGGAAAAACCUCUAAGCAUCAGGUUACGGGUGACCGUACCCUAAACCGACACAGGUGGGCAGGGUGAGAAGCCCAAGGCGCUUGAGACAACUCGGGUGAAGGAACUCGGCAAAAUGACACCGUAACUUCGGGAGAAGGUGUGCCCCCAUUACGUGAAGGCCCUCGCGGCCGGAGCGGAAGGGGGUUGCAACAAAGAGGUGGCUGCGACUGUUUAUUAAAAACAUAGCACUCUGCAAACUCGAAAGAGGACGUAUAGGGUGUGACGCCUGCCCGGUGCCGGAAGGUUAAUUGAUGGGGUUAGCGUAAGCGAAGCUCUUGAUCGAAGCCCCGGUGAACGGCGGCCGUAACUAUAACGGUCCUAAGGUAGCGAAAUUCCUUGUCGGGUAAGUUCCGACCUGCACGAAUGGCGUAACGAUGGCCACACUGUCUCCACCCGGGACUCAGCGAAAUUGAAAUUGCUGUGAAGAUGCAGUGUACCCGCACCAAGACGGAAAGACCCCGUGCACCUUUACUACAGCUUCACACUGGACUUUGAACAUGUUUGUGUAGGAUAGGUGGGAGGCUUUGAAGCGGGAACGCCAGUUCUCGUGGAGCCAACCUUGAAAUACCACCCUGGCAUGUUCGGGGUCCUAACCGAGGCCCGUUAUCCGGGUCCGGGACCGUGUGUGGUGGGUAGUUUGACUGGGGCGGUCUCCUCCCAAAGAGUAACGGAGGAGCGCGAAGGUACUCUCAGAACGGUCGGAAAUCGUUCGGUUAGUGUAAAGGCACAAGGGUGCUUGACUGCGAGACAGACACGUCGAGCAGGUAGGAAACCAGGUCUUAGUGAUCCGGUGGUUCUGUAUGGAAGGGCCAUCGCUCAACGGAUAAAAAGGUACGCCGGGGAUAACAGGCUGAUACCCCCCAAGAGUUCACAUCGACGGGGGUGUUUGGCACCUCGAUGUCGGCUCAUCACAUCCUGGGGCUGUAGCCGGUCCCAAGGGUAUGGCUGUUCGCCAUUUAAAGUGGUACGCGAGCUGGGUUUAGAACGUCGUGAGACAGUUUGGUCCCUAUCUGGUGUGGGCGCUGGAGAUUUGAGAGGAGCUGCUCCUAGUACGAGAGGACCGGAGUGGACGUACCUCUGGUGUUCCUGUUGUCACGCCAGUGGCACUGCAGGGUAGCUAUGUACGGACGGGAUAACCGCUGAAGGCAUCUAAGCGGGAAGCCUCCCUCAAGAUAAGAUCUCCCUGGACCCGCGAGGUCCCUGAAGGUUCGUCGAAGACUACGACGUUGAUAGGCGGGAUGUGGAAGUACAGUAAUGUAUGAAGCUAACCCGUACUAAUUGACCGUGAGGCUUGAUCAU
rnacentral:rRNA from 1 species